GUCGUCGCGAGACGGGGUCUGAAGGAAGCGUAUGGCAAAGCUACGACCUGACGAACAGAAACCAGAUGCGAGGCCUACCCGGUUGGACAAGCGAGCCAAUGAUCGCGAAGCCCAUAACCAUCAAGGACCGGGAUGGUAGAUCUG
rfam:Candidatus Burkholderia brachyanthoides strain TZHbot7 BRCHctg217, whole genome shotgun sequence.